AAACGAUCCCGACCCUUUCCUCCGUCCUCGCAUCAUCUCCAUGGCGGUCGGUAGGGUUACGAAUUUGUGAUCGCUAGGGACUAGGGAUGCGAAUUGUGAUCGCUAGGGUUUCAAUCUAGUUUUCCAUCGUGAUCGCUAGGGUUUCGACCUACGGUUCUUCUUUGUUGUUUGAUCGUUGUUGUUUGUGAUCGUUGACGAGUUUUUUGAAGGACCUGGCAUGGCGGAGUUUGGGAUGUUCUAAGCCCUAUCUUCUCGAUGAUCGCUAGGGUAAUACCGUUCAUCGCUAGAAUUUCGACAUAUGAUUCGUCAGCUUUGUUGUUUGAUCGUUGAUAUUGGUGAUCGUUCAUGAGUCGUUGUUGUUUGUGAUCGUUGAUGAGUUUUUUGAAGGGUCUAGCAUGGCGGAGUUUGGGAUCUUCUAGGCCGUAUCGUCUGCAUGGCGACCGCCAGGGUAAUUUCGACAUAUGAUUCUUCAUCGUUGUUGUUUGAUCGUUUUUAUUGGUGAUCGUUCGUGAGUGGUUGUUGUUUGUGAUCGUUGAUGAGUUUCUUGAAGGGUCUCGUAUGGCGGAGUUUGGGAUCUUCUGGGCCGUAUCGUUUCCGUGGCGACCGCCAGGGUAAUAUCGUUCGUCGCUAGAAUUUCGACAUAUGAUUCUUUGUCCUUGUUGUUUGAUCGUUGUUAUUGGUGAUCAUUCAUGAGUCGUUGUUGUUUGUGAUCGUUGAUGAGUUUUUUGAAGGAUCUGGCAUGGUGGAGUUUGGGAUCUUCUGGGCCUUAUGGUCUCCAUGGCGACCGCCAGGGUAACAUCGUUUGUCACUAGAAUUUCGACAUAUGAUUCUUCAUCGUUGUUGUUUGAUCGUUUUUAUUUGGUGAUUGUUCAUGAGUCGUUGUUGUUUGUGAUCGGUGAUGAGUUUCAUGAAGUAUCUCGCAUGGCAGAGUUUGGGAUCUUCUAGCCCCUAUCGUCUCUAUGGCGAUCGCCAGGGUAACAUCGUUCGUCACUAGAAUUUCGACAUAUGAUUCUUCAUCGUUGUUGUUUGAUCGUUGUUAUUGGUGAUCGUUCAUGAGUCGUUGUUGUUUGUGAUCGUUGAUGAGUUUUUUGAAGGAUCUGGCAUGGCGGAGUUUGGGAUCUUCUGGGCUCUAUCGACUCCAUGGCCAUCGCCGGGGUAAUAUCGUUCCUCGCUAGAAUUUUGACUUAUGAUUCUUUGUCCUUGUUGUUUGAUGGUUGUUAUUGGUGAUCGUUUAUAAGUUGUUUGAAGGAUCUCACAUAACCACGCUUGAUAUCUUCAACACACUAUCACCUACAUGGCGUUCGUUAUGGUAACAUCGUGGUUGUAAGAGUUUUGAUGUAGGAUUCUUUUGUGGCUGUUAGAUCGUGGUGUUUUCUGUGAUUGUUGAUUAGUUUUUUUUUUUUUGAGGGAUUUGUGUGGCGGCUGGGAUCUUCGGCGUGAUCGUUUCAUAUGAGCUUAAUGCGAUGCUGUUAGUUCUCAUACGUCGUUCUCUAAUGGUAUAUACGAAAUUGUUAGCCUGUUUGAUUUGAUGUCCGUGUCAGGUUUAUUGAUUAUGAAGUGGAGUGAUUCAGAUUUGAUCUGAUACUCGUUCAGUAGCAGAGGAAUUUAUCAAAUUUGGAGUAAUUUUAUGUUUUUGGAUUCGGUCUUUUGUGGUUUUACUUGAUGGUUUUGUUAUGAGGUUUCUAUUAAUCUGGUUUAUUAUUUAUAUUCAGGUUUGGUGGAUUUUUUGUUCUUGUUUGUAGCAGAUGAAUUUGAUGGAUUCGUGGAUUGCGUCUUUUGUUGGUUUUACUUGAGAUUUGGUUCAAUUUGCUAUCAAUGGGUGUUUUUGAUGUUAUGAUUAAGAGGAUUCUUCUAUUAGCUUUACAAAGAGAUGAAUUUGAUGGAUUCGUGGAUUGCAUCUUUUGGUGUUCGGUCUUUUGUUGCUUUUACUUGAGAUUUGGUUCAAUUUGCCAUUAAUGGGUGUUUUUUGAUGUUACGAUUAAGAGGAUUCUUCUAUUAGCCUUUGUUCUUUCUGUUGGACUUUCUGGGCUCCUGAUUGUCAGCGAGUUCUUUAAUGGAGAGGAGUAAUUUAAAAGGUUUUUCAUGUGGUCUUUUUUGGUAUCUACUUUAUGCGAUCAUCAUGUACUGUUGGAUAUUAAAUUUUGGCCUGUUGAUUAUUGUUGAUAUCAAGUGUUUUUUGUUCCUCUUCUUGCCUAGAGUGAUCUAAUGAUCUCAAAAGAACAGGGGAAGUGGCAGAGUAUAGUGAUAAGUGACUAUUAGAGGUGAUUGAAGAGAUGAGUGGCAGGGAUCAACACUUACCAUAGCAGGCUAGCACAUGCAGGACCAUUGGGAUUUGGAUGCCUUGCAAUGUUGGUGAUAUAACCUCUAUAACAAAUGAAUUUCUACUUUAAUAGUUGGAUGCUUUGCAACAGUGAUCAAUUUCUAGUUUUAACACUUGGAUCUGCAGUCAUUCAUAAACUUUACUCCUCGAGCUUGUAGUUCUUUUGUACAGCCAUCUAAAGUGCAGAUUUGAAAGCCUUUUGCACUAUACUGUCAGCAUUGGUGUCUACAAGCUUAUGCGAAGAGCAGGAGUAGUGUUGAAUCAUAAUAGGAAAAACUUCAGGGAAGCCAACUUAUGGUAUAGCGCAUUUUCUGUUUGCCGUUUAAAAUGCACUUGCUCUAUUAUAGUUUCAGUUUAUGUUUUUCUUAAGGACCUGCUAUUAUGAAGGUUGUCUGAGUGUUAGAUUUUAUCAGCUAUGAAGUAGUGAAGUGCAAAUCAUAGGGUGGUGAAGUGCUAUAUUUUAUCAACCUGUUAUUCAUGGAACGUAUAACUGUCUUAUCCUUUUAAUAGCAGGUUCGUACAGAAAUCUAAGGCAAAAUCACAGGGGGUUGAAAAAUUCUACAAUUUGGAACUGCUGGGCAGUGCAAAUGUUAUUACAGCAGGGAUCUUUCUGACGCUUUCCCUAAUUUCUAGUAAUAGUUGUUCUACCUGAUUAUAGAGACUAUAGUCUCCUUUAUGUUUUGCUUUCAUUUUUGAUUCUGCAUUGCUUGUUCAUGGAAAUUAUUUGUCUAGUAGGAUCGGGAGUCUGUCCAAGUUGCUUACAACUCUUCUGUGCCUAGGGAGCUUUCAAAGCUUGCUUGGUCAAGGAUUAUUCUGUAUCUUUCUCAGCAACUUGUUGAUAUAUCUCGUUCUUUUUUAUGAUUUCUGGUAUCUGCUUGGUUCUGUUUAUCACUUGACUUGUCUUUGUUGGAGUUUUAGAGUUAAAGGAUGAUUUAAUAAAGAGAGAGGCACGACAAUAAUGGUCAUCGACUUGCCUUUCUUUUAACCUUUUCAAAGUCAAGAUGAGUUGAUGAAGAGGCAGGUGCGGCUACAAUGGUCAUUGACUAGCCUUUGUUGCCAGAGAAGGAUCUAAUGAAGUUAUGGUUAUAUCACCUUUAUGUGUAGCUGGUCUUAUCAUACUGAUGCAAGGUUGGUGGAGCAGUAGCACACUUGUUUCUAUUGUCACUUUUCUAGCUUGAUUAUCUCCUAUCCACUUUAUGCAGAUUUAUUUCUUGUAGCACUUUUGAAGUCUACCAAUCAAAGUUGCUUUAGAUGAAGAGGUUCUUCUUGAAGGUCAUUUUACGGAGUUUGCUUGUCAGAAAUGUAAUACUGAUUUUCUUCGUUGGUAGUUAUUCUCGCUUUUUUACCGAGUUAUUCUUCGUUGGCAUGUGCAGUGGAGCUCAAAGGUUUUGAAGUUAAAUUUAAUGAUCCUAAUGGGAAGCUCAUCUAUUUUGGUGUGAUAUUGAUGGAUCUUAAGUUCUCUGCGGUUCAUAUAAUUAUCCUUAUAAAGAGGAGGCUAAGCUGUACUGGUGAUACUGAUUUUGCCAUGACGUCUCUGAGUAGUUUGAUUAUUUAGGUUAUAUACAAAUUGGCAUUAACAGUACUAUUGAGUUCAUGAAGCAAUUGCUUAUUUGCUUAUGGUUGCUUAGUUCGUCUUAGACGGCAGAUGGACUUUAUACUAGUUAUUUUGGUUAAUAUCUACCUGUCUGUUUGGCCAAUACGGUUAUAUCUACUUGCUUUUGUGAAGUUGAUCUCUCUUCAUUUAUAAUUCUUGAUUUCUUUGACCCUGCUUUUCGCUUUUGUUAGGAUGGUUCUUGAAAAUCAUUUUUAACUAUAUUGAGCAUGCUCUGUUAUAAUGUUGAUGUCACCUUGCAAGUCUCUUAAUUUUUUUUUCCUCUUUUUUUCUUGGAUUUACAAUUUAUUCUGACUGUCUAUUUGGAAUUGAAAUAUUGUGGACUCAAAAGAAUCUUGCAGCUUUUAUAGUCACGGAUUGUUUUGUUGAGCUCUGAUGUAGAAUUAUAGCUUUGAUCAAAAUUGUAAGGUAUGCUUGUAUUUGUUCUGCCAGUGCUCAUUUAUGUAGUGAUCUUACGAGCUGGCAUCUCUACCUUGUGCGAAUGUGGCGGUGUUAUUCGGGUCUGACAAAAGAAAAUUCAACUAACAUUCUUAUCGGUCCUGCAUAUUAUUAGUACAUUUCACCUUCAUUCUUGUUAGGCCUAUUCUCUGUGGUCAUUUUACCAGUGGAGUCCAAUAUGUGAUCAAGUUGUGCAUGAAUCUUUUGUCCUCACAAUUCCAAUCACCGGUUUGUCUAAAUGCUUUGCUUAGGAAUUUCUGCUAAUUGUUAGUAUCACUAUGGCUUUUAUUGGCAUUUAUCGCUUGAUCUGCAUGAUUUUGUUGUGAGUUGCCAAUGGAAAGGGAGGAGCAGCUACUGUUGAUGGUGAUUUUAUGUCAGGUUGUGAUUGGAGUUAAACAUACAGAAAAGGAUUCUACAAUAUAAUGGCGGUAUUGACUUGCUUUAUAAUGAUUCUGUUUUCUGUUUGAAUUUUGGCAUAUGCAUUUUCUUUUACUGGUCUUGUUUCUGAAACUUGUUGCACAAGUUGGUUAUCACUGUCCAUUAUGCUCGUUUGUUCGAAAAUUUUCUAGUAUAUCUGUGUAGUUAAUGGAAUUCGUUUCUACUGGCUUUUGUUUAUUGACAGUAUUUGGGAGUAACAGAGGGAUUCUAAAAGACAUCUUUGUUCAGUAUCAGAUAUGAGAUGGGGAUGCUUCAGAUUACCUUCUUCCAUAGAGAUGGAAUUCUCAAAGAAGAAACCAUUUCUCUGUUCUCUAGUUUGAUCAUUCAAAUUAUUCCAGUUCAAUUUCUCUGUGAGUUCUUGAUAAUCUAAAUCGUUCAUUUUCUAGGUCAAUGAACUGGUUGUGAUGCUUUCCUCUCAAGUAGAGUUCGAACUGCUCCCUUAUAACACAAAAUUUAGGUUGUAUCUACUAGCAUUUCCAUUGUUAAGUAUCAGCAUUAAUGAACAGUUAGCUGAUUACUCAUUCUACAGUUGUUCUUUUGUCAUGUCUUUCUUUUGGGAAAGAGGAAGAGACCUUUUCCCGCUGUCAUGUCUUUCUUUUGGAAAGAGGAAGAGACCUUUUCCUGUGUGUUGAAUGUUGAUCAUUCAAAUUACUACAGGUAAAUCUCUGGACAUUCAGUUAGAUUGUUUCUGCAUUGAGUUUCAUUCUCCUUGAGUUGGUGCUGUCUUUCUUCACAUGUUUAUUCAAUGGUUCUUGGUUGUUGGUUAUUUCUAUAGAUUUCUGUUGCACCAUUUACCUACCAUCUUAUCAAGGUGAUGUUGUGGGUUUGUCGUGAUCUAUAGAUGAAAAUAUGACUUCAUGUCUUGUUUCGUGACGCUGCUAGAGUCUUGGGGCAACUGACUUGUUCUUGGGAUGGUAUGUCAAGGUAAUAAUCUGGGUUUUCUAAGUUUGUUAAUUUCUGCAGUCAGGCUUCUCUUUCGGUAACUAGAUUGACACUGGAUCAUCGGUUGGUUGGGGUGCCAUGGAUCCGGUAAGACCAUGUUGGAUUUGGUAUUUUUAGCUUACAAUAGUGUGCAUCAUGUGACUACAUAAGAGAUAUUGUAUCUCUGUUCUUCCUCGUAUUAUAGGUACGCUUAGCUUUCAGUGGGGCUUGUGUAGAUCAAUAAACAAUUGGGAUUAACUUCCAGGGUGUACACUACUAUUAUUAAUGUUUCUCUUUAACUAUUCUACAAAUUUUUUUGAGCCUGGAUUUCGGCCUUUUGUGGCAUGUAGAUGCAUUACAAUUUUGGCCAGAUUUGUGAGGCAACUUCAGUUUAAAUAAAAAGUGUCAUUUCUUGUUGUCCGAAGGAUCAACAAAAUUGGUAUCUAAACCAGCUCUUUAUUCCAAAGAUCAAGUGCAGUGUAUAGGUAUGCCAUUAGCUCUUCCAGCUCUUUCAAGUGAUCAUUCAUAUCAUUGUAUUCGUUGGAUUGUUUUUUUAAGGGUUUACUUUCCAGUGGAUCUGAUGUUUUCCAAGUUUCUCAAUCCUUCCAAGCUAGGGGAGCUUUUCCAUCACUCUGCUACUAACGCUCUACUUCAUCUUUCAAGAGCUUGCUCAUCUUUGCCUUUGCAUUUUACUGAUUUUACCUAACUGCUUUGGUGCUAUGUGUGUUCUUUGUUGGAGGUUGGGAGUUAAAGCAUGAGUCAAUCAAGGGGGAGGCCUGAAUAAAUGGUCAUAUCGAUGGUUGGAGCUGUCAUAUGAAUGAAAUGGAGUGCUAAAGUACAAUGGUAAUAAAAUCAUGAAAAUGAGGAGAGUUCUCUACAAUCAUGGUGAUGUAGUCUAUUGAUUGUACUUGCUCCUGUUCACAUGGUUGAAUCACACUUUCCCUUAGUUGGUCUUCAAGAUUUGAUUAAUAAUAUCAGUCACCUUUGUCGGAUUGUGCUGAGUUGUUUGGUCUUCAUCUUUUCUUUGCAGCGGAGUGAUAAAGAUGGUCUGUUAGCACCUGGCUGUCAGGACUUGGUGUAGAUAAGGGCUAAUUCCUUAAUAACUAUCCAUUCUUCUCUUUCUACCUUCCAAGCUAAUUGUUGUUACAUUUUUCGCUUGUUUUGAAGGUUUAUGAAUGUUGGCCAUAGCAAUUUCGUUGAAGAGAGUUUGUUCUUAGUUACCUAACAAUUCUUCUAGUUUCUACCGUCGUCUUCUAGUUUCUACCAUUCAAGUUAUUGUUGUCACAUUACUCUCUGCAUUAUUGGCAGGCUUCUCGUAAAGGUCAUGUACUGAAAGUUGAUAGCCGUACUUCAGCUCGAAGGGAGUUUUUACUCGAUUACCAAAUAAUGACAUCAAAUCCUUCUUAGGUUGCUGGUUUAAUUCUAUUUUCACUAGCUGAUUGUGGCAUCAUCAAUAGUGUAUGCUUUCUUCUCCGUAUCAUGUCUAGUUAUUUAAAUUCUUGUUUUUGUGAUUUCCUUGGAGUUCUAUGCUAUUAUGUACCUAAUGGCAUGUGCAAUAUCUAAUAUGGUGCUUGGCAGAGCUGUGGUCAUGAUUUGGACAUGAUCCGGUUUAGUUUGGGCUGAGGGGGAAAAUUGAAUGGAAUUAGUUAAAUUGGUUUAACAAAAAUGAAUGCCAAAAUCAAAUUGAAAGGAGCUAACACACAGUCAAACCACUUUGAUUUAACACUUCACUAUAAUGGUAUUAAUUUUUAUUUUCUCAUUACCACUCUUGAUACAUAUAUUGAAGAUUUUGAACUAGUUUGGGUAAACUGACCUUUCAACCAUUUCAGUUUUUUUUUCUUUUUUUAAUUUUAUAAACCAUAUAUAGUAUAUAAUUUUCUACAAUCUAUGUAAUUUUUUAAAAAAAUUUCGUUUGGGGGCAAAUCCUCAAAACAAAACGGGUGAGUUUUGAAAUCUUUGAAAAUGGAACUGAAUCGAUGAUAAUGGAAAUGGAAACCUGUUUUCUGCAGCAUUCUUUUGGGUUGUUUGAAGUUGCAAUUUGAACCAGCAACUCGGACUGGCGUUGUUGUUUGAUUGAUUUCUUAUCUCUUUACUCAAUGUGCCUUCCAUUUCUUGAAGGCCCACUAGGACACAGUCCUGAGUGGAAUUUGUAUUAGAUCAAAUGUAUAAUUUUGCAUGGAUUGCUCUCCUCAGUAUGCAGUUAUUAUAAAGUUCAUUGGCACGGGAGUUCAUUUGCUGGGUUGAUAUUUUCCCAGGUUCGUGCUUUUCCUAUUUGGAGCAGCCUUCAUACUUCAAUACAUCAUAUAAUGCAGCUUCCAGUGUUUAGCUUGUCCUUCGUAUGAGUUUCUUAGUUCUCAAAUUUGUAUAAAACCAUUUUUCUCUAGAUUUUGUAGUGUGAUUUGCAGUGAACUUUAUGAUUAAUGAUGGACACCUCAACCACACUGGUGAAGUGGUGAUAACAUUUAUCUUUGACUGUUAAUAAUUAUGCUGAUAAUCAUCGUCAGUUUUAGUAUUGUUUGAUCAACUCUUUUCUGUCUAGUAAGUUUUGGUACUGGAGUUCCUGUGGGAUGGGCACCAACUUGUUGACCGUGAAGUUUAGGAACCUAGAGACUCUGUGGCAUGUCAAGGCACUUUAUAUGAGGUUAAUCUCCUUCCUAGUCAAUAGUUUACUUGCAAAGUAAUAUGUUGUUCUUUCUCUAACUGAAACUGUUUAUGUAUGUCUAUUGGAAUUUGGCAAUGUUGAUAUAGUAAAUUAUUGAUUUACAAACUAAAAGAGCGUGGCACGGCUACAAUGGUCAUUGGGUUGCCUUUGUUGGAACCUUUUCAAGGUAAAGAUGAUUUAAUGAAGAGGUAGAUAUGAUUAUAAUGGCCAUUGACUUGCCUUUGUUGGAACUUAGAUAUAGGAGAUGAUUUAAUGAAGUAACGGUUAUCUCACCUUAAUGAGUUUUGGUGUUAUAAUACUGGUGCAAGUGACUGCUUAGGUAUGACAGUGAUUUUAUCAUAUGAAAGUAGCAUUCUAGUAUAUUGGUAAUAUCUUUUGGCUGGGUGUAUCUUUUCUUUCCAGUGCAGUUGGUGGAGCAGUCGCGUCCUAUGUUGAGUAUUUUCUCUUUUUUUCUCUUAUUAACUAUUAUCUCUCUUGUCCACUGACUUUAUAAAUCUCAGGUGGUGGAGCAGUUGCGUCCUAUGUUGAUUAUCUUCUCUUUUUUUCUCAACUAUUUUCUCUCGUCCACUGACUUUCUACAGAUUUAUAUCUCAUAACACUUUUGAAGUUUAGCCAUCAGAGUGUCUUUAGAUGAAGACAUGAAAGGAUUCUUCAAAACUGAUUUCUACCUUCAGGUUCUUGCUGUUCUCUCUUCAUGUGCUGGCUUGAUAGUUUGUUUAUGUUGCUCAUCAUAAUUUUCUGUGAAGAGAUAUGAUAUUGUGAUCCUUGUUGAAUAUUCUGGCUGGGUGUAUCUUUUCUUUCCAGUGUAGUUGGUGGAGCAGUCGCGUACUUGUUUCUAUUGCCACUCUCUGAGCUUGAUUAUCUAUGUUGAGCAUCUUCUCUUUUUUUCUCUUAACUACUAUCUCUCCUGUCCACUGACUUUAUACAGAUUUAUAUCUCAUAACACUUUUGAAGUUUAGCCAUCAUAGUGCCUUUAGAUGAAGACAUGAAAGGAUUCUCAAAACUUUUCCUUCUUUGAUUUCUACCUUCAGGUUUUUGCUAUUCUCUCUCCAUGUGCUGGCUUGAUAGUUUGUCUAUGUUGCUCAUCAUUUCUGUGAAGAGAUAUGAUAUUGUGAUCCUUGUUGUUCUAUUUCAACAAUUCAUGUUGUUUCAUUUGUCACUGGCUUCUUUGCAGACUCUUCUUGAAGAUCAUUUUACACAGUUUGCUUUCAUACUAAUCUUCAUUGUUGGUGGUUAAUCUAGCUAUUCUACUUCCUGGUAAUGGGAUUGCUGAAUUCAGUUUCAUUCUUCUCAAGAGCAGUUUGUCUGGUGGUGUUUUUAGUUUCUUAUUAGUUAUUUCUUCCGAUAUCUAUGGUACUGCAUGUCUAUUGUUGUGCCAUGUGCAGUGGAACUCAAAUGCUCUGCUGUUAAAUUCAAUUAUCCUAAUUGGAUGGACAUCUAUAUUGGCAUGAUAGGAAUGGAUCCCAAGUGUUUUGCGGUUCAAAUAGUGAUCCUUGUGAAGAGGAGGCUCAGCUAUAUUGGUGAUACUGAUUUGCCACGACAUCUCUGACUAUUUGUUAUUUUAGGUUAUAUACAAAUUGGAAUUAACUUUCUUGUUGUCUUUUUAUAAGGCAAUUGAUUAAUUGGUUAUGAUUGCUUAGUUCGACUUAGAUGGCAGAUGGACUGUAGAGUACUUAUUUCAUUGACAUCUACCUUUCUGUUUGACCGGUACGGUUAUAUCUACUAGCUUUUGUGAAGUUGAUCUCUCUUUAUUUAUAAGGUCUUGAUUUCUUUGACACUGCAUUUCUCUUCUGUUAGGAUGGUUCCUGAAAAUUAUUUUAACUUAAUUGAGGAUGCUCUCUUAUAACGCUGGUGUCAUCCUUCUAGCCUAUUAAUUUUCAUUUUCUGUCUUGGGUUUGCAAUUUAUUCUAACCUUCUAUUUUGACUUGAAGAUUGUGGACUUGAAAGAAUCUUCCAGCUUUUAUACUCGAGGGUAUGUUUGCUUUGUUGUGUUGAAUUAUAGCUAUGGCCAAACUUGUGAGUUAUGUUUAUAGUUGCCAAAAUUGUAAUUGAUGUUUGUAUUCGUUUGACCAGCGCUUUUUUAUCUACUGAUCCUACUACUUUGGCAUUUCUAACUAUUGCAUAUGACAAGGUGUUGUUCGGGACUAACGAAAAAUGCAGCUAAUGUUCUUAUCAAUUCUCCACAUUAUUAGUGUUGUAAUUUCACAUUAUUAGUAUUGUAAUUUUAUCCCAUCGUCAUUCUUGUUAGGCUUAUUCUUCAUGGUUGUUUUACCAGUGGGGUCCAGUAUGUGAUCAAGUUGUGUAUGAACCUUUUAUACUUGGGAUUCCAGCCACCUGUUUGGUUAACUGUUUUGCUUAGUAAUUUCUGCUAAUUGUUAGUAUGCCAUUUAUCGCUUGAUUUGCAUGAUUUUGCUAUAAAUUACCAAUUGAAGGGGAGGAGCAACGACAAUUGGAUGGUGAUAUCAUACUGGAGGUAAACACAAUGAAAGGGGUUACAAUAUAUGGUGGUAUUGACUUGCUUUAUAAUCUUCUGUCUUCAGUUUGCAUUUUGGCAUGUGCAUUUUCUUUUUACUGGUCUUAUUUUCUGAAACUUGAAGUACGAAGUUGGUCAUCACUGUCCAUUAUAUGCUGGUUGUUUAAUAAUCAUUUAGUAUAUCUGUUUGAUUAAUAAAUUCUUUUCUACUGGCUUUUAUUUAGUGACAGUAGAUGGCCGAGAGGGAUUCUAAUAGACAUCUUUAUUCAGUAUCAUAUAUGAGAAGGGGACGCCUUCUGUGGAGAUGGAAUUCUAAAGGAAGAAAACAUCUCUGUUCUUUAGUUUGAUGAUUCAAAUUAUUGCAGUUUCAUUUCCCUGUGAAUUCUUGAUAAUCUUUAUUUCUAAAUCGUUUAUUUGCUAGGUAGAUGUCCAAGCUGCUCGAGAUGCUUUCUCCUCAAGUAGAGGUUGAAUUGGUCCCUAUAACAUAGUCUAGGUUUUAUCCACUAGCUUAUCCGUUGUUUAAGUAUCAACAUUUAUGAAUAGCAAGUAAUUACUCAAUCAAUAGUCAUAUGUUGAUCAUUCAAAUUGCUACAGGUAAAUCUCUUGGUAUUUGGUUAAAGAUUGUUUCUCCAUUGAGUUUCCUUCUCCUUAUACUUGAGCGAGUUUCGUCGCAUGUGGUCAGUCAAUGGUUCUUAAUUGUUGGUAAUUUUAUAUAUUUCUAUUGCACAAUCUAUCUACAGUCUAUAGUUGAAAAUAUGACUUGAUGUCUCGUUUGGUGACACUGUCAGAGUCUUGUGGCAACCGACUUGUUCUUGGGAUGGUGUUCUAGGAUUAUACACGAAGUACCUCUUGUUUACCAAGUUUUUUAAUUUUCUGCAGUCAGGCUUUUCUUUCAGUAACUAGAUUGGUCCUUGUUGAUCAGUAAAACUGUUUUGGAUUUGGGAUGCUUAACUUACGAUAGUGCAUCAUGUGAAUGUAUAGAGGUAUCUCUUCUCUUCUCUUCCUGGUUCUAUAUUGAUGCUUAUCUUUUAGUGAGGUUGGCUUGUGUAGACCAGUAAACCAUUUGGAUUAACUCCAAGGUACACUCUAACGUUAAUAAUGUUCUUUCUCAACUGAUUCUGCUAAUUAUUUUGAGCAGCUAGUUGAGUGUGGGUGUUGUCUUGUGUAGAUAUAAGCCAUUUGGGAUUAACUUCCGGGGUAAGCUGUAAUGCUGUUAACAUUUCUCCUUAACUGAUUCGGCAAAUUAUGUUGAGCAGCUAUCUGAGUCUAGGGGCUGGCUUACGUAGAUCAAUAAACCGUUGAGGUUAACUUCCAGGGUAUGAGCUAAGGUUGUUAACAUUUCUCUUGCCUGAUUCUGCAAAUUAUUUCAAGCAGCUAUUUGAUUAUGGAUAUCGAAGCCUUUUGUAGCCUCUAUGCUCUGAGGCUUGUAGGUUACAACUUUGACCGGAAUUGUGAGGCAACUUCAGAUAAAAAUAAAAGAAACUUCCCUCAUUGUUUGGAGGACUGACGAAAUUGGUAUCUAAACCGGCUCUUUAUUUCGAAGAUCCGGUACAGUGUACGGUGUAUGGGUAUAUCAUUAGCUCUUCCAUUCAAAUUAUUGUAUUCACGAGAUUACCUUUUUUUUUUUGUGGCUGCUUAUCCAGUUGAUCAGAUGUUCUCCAAGUUUUCCUAUCUUCCGAGCUAGGGGAGUUUCUCAAUCACUCUGCUAACUGCUUUGGUGGUAUUUAUGUUUUCUUUUGGAACUUCAGAGUUAGAGCAUGAUUCAAUUAAGAGGGAGUUGAAUAAAUGGUCCUGUUACCUAAAUGGAUGGUUGGAAUUAUCAUAUUGAUGAGUUGGACUGGUCAAGUGUAAUGGUAAUAUAAUCACGAAAAUGAGUAUAGUUUUGUACUACAAUGGUGAUAUAUAGUGUACUGAUUGUACUUGAUCCUGUUCAGAUGGUUGAAUCAUACUUUUCCUUUGUUGGUCUUUGCGAUUUGAUUGAUUAUAUCAGUUAUCCUUGUCGAAUACCUGCUGAGUUGUUUGACCUUCAUUUUUUUCUAUGCAGUGGACUGAUAAAAAUGGUCUGUUUGGGUUUGGGGCGUUUAGUCGUCAGCAUUCUGUGUAGAUACGGGCUAUUUCUCAAAACUGCGCAUUCUUCUAUUUGUACCUUUCAAGUUAAUUACUGUUCCAUUUCUCUGCUUUUUUUCAUGGUAUUAUGUGGGCUCCCUGUAACAAUUUUCUCCGAAGAGAGUUUGUUCUUAGCUACCUAACAAUUCCGAAGAGAGUUUGUUCUUAGCUACCUUACAAUUCUUCUAGUUCCACCUUCUUCUAGUUUCUACCAUUCAUGUUAUUGUUCUCACAUUUUUCUCUACAUUAUUGGCAGCCUUCUCUUGAAGGUUAUCUACCAAAAGUUGACUGGGCACACUUAUAGUUCGAAGGGACUUUUUACUUGACCACCUAAUGAUGACAUUGAAAUCCUUCUUGAAUAGCUGGUUCAAUUGCGUUUCUAUUUUCACUAGCUGAUGAUGACACCACCAAUGGUGCGUUUCUUUCUUCUCCAUAACGUGUCUAGUUGUUUAGAACUUUAGAUAACGUAUUUUGGUGAUUCGCUUGGAAUUUUAUGCUAUUAUAUAUGUGCCAUGUGCAAUAUAUCAAUAUGAUGCUUUGCAGUUGUAGCUAUAGGUUGGGCUGCAGUCAUGAUUUGGGCAUGAUCCUGCUUGGUUCGGGUUGAAGGGAAAUAUCGAACUGAAGCAGUUAAAUCGGUUUAGUGAAUAUGAAGAACAAAAUCAAUUCAAAAGGAGCUGACACUGAAUCAAAACACUUCGACUUAAUCAAUUACAGUUUAAUGGUAUCAGUUUCCGAUUUCUUAUCACCACUGUAUAUAUAUAUAUUGUUCUUGAUUUUUGUAAUAUGUCACAGGGCUUGGUUCUCUUUACUAGCAAUAUUAUUUUGAAGAAUUUGAACCAGCUUGGGUAAACUGAUCUCUAAAUCAUUUCGAUUUUUUAAAAUAUAAAUAUAUACGUUGUAUAAUUCACCACUAUCUAUAUAUAUUUUUUUCUUUUUUCUGGGGGGCAAAACCUCGGAACAAAAGCGACCCUUUUUUUUUCCCAGUUUUGAAAUUUUUGAAGCUGAUACAGAACCAAGGAUAAUUGAAACCUGUUUUCUUCAGCAUUCUUGGGUAGUUUGAACUUUGAAGUUGCAAUUUGUUCGAGCCAGCAACUGUGGGUUGGAGUUGUUGUUUGACUUCUCAUUUCUCUUUGAAGGUCCACUAGCACACGGUGGAGUUUGUAUUGGAUCAAAUAUAUAAUUAUAACUUGGAUUGUUCACCUCAAUAUGUCAGCUCUUAUAAAGUUUAUUGAGCACUGGAUUUCAUAUGCUGGGUUGAUGUCUUCCCAGGUGCAUGCUUUUCUUCCUUGGAGCGGCCUUCAUACCUCGGUACAUGACAAUCCAACAGGAAAUGUUUAAUUUGUCCUUCAGACGAGUUUCGUGGUUGUGUCACUAAAUUCGUACACCACCAUUUUUCUCUGGAUUUUAUAGUGUGAUUUGCAGUGAACUGUAUGAUUAAUGUUGGGGCGCCUCAAGUACACUGGUGAUAAUUCUAGCUUUGACUAUUAAUAACUAUGUUUAUCAUCAUCAUGAGUUCGUAGUGUUGUUUGAUCAGAUCUUUUCUGCCUAUGUAAGUUUCAGUGCUAGAGUUCCAAUAGCAUGUGAACCAAUCCUUGUUGACCGUGAAAGUCUGGGUAUUAGAGAUUCUGUGGUAUCUGAAGGCAUUUUAUAUGAGAUUUAUCUUCGUCCUUUGCAGUCAAUAAUUUACUUGCAAACUAAGAUGUUUUCCUUUAUGUCCAUUUGAAUUUGGCCGCUGUGAUAUCACCUUGCUAAGUACCUUCACAUAUCCUAAAACUGUCAGUGUCCGCAUUGAUUCUCCUCCUGGGUUUGCAAUUUAUUUGAACAGCUGUUGACUGUGACAGAUUAUGCCAGCUUUUGCAGCCUUUGUACGGUCUAAGGCGUGUUUCUUCAGUUGAGCAUAAAAGUUGAUUCACAAGUUUUAAGUAGUGAGGAGGCAUCUUAUUUGUUUGUUUGACAUUUCUUCCAGUGGUUUGAUGAAAUUCGAUAUCAUCUGGCAUCAGGUCUUGCAUAAUGGAAGAUGGAGAGGUUUUGCUAGUAUAUCAUUCAAUGUAAAACAAUGUCAUUCACCUUCAGUUACAAUUUACUUGAGCUGCCUGUGCUGCUGUGUUGUCCAUGUUGCUACUCACAAUUUGUAUUGUGCCUCAUCUUUCUGAAGAUCCAUUGUUCCUCCUCAUCUUUCUGGUUUAUCUUCUGUUUUCUAUUGUACCGGUUCCAAAUAACUGUUAUGGAUGUUGUGUACUUCUCGGUUUGUUUGGUAAUAUUGUUUCAUUACUGCUAUCUGCUGGUUGUUUUCAUCAGCAUGGAAAGUAUCUACAAGCAUCUGUGAAGUAACGGGCGUCAGAGUUUAGGUGGGCCAUGAAAACAUGUUAACCGGCGUAACCAUCCAUUUCCUAUUUUGAAUUUUAUUUUCAGGCAAUUUCUUCGACUCGGCAUUCUUGAUUGGCUUGUUCUUGGAGCAUAUCUGACUAGUGGAAUUCUGUUUUUUCUGUCAGCUGCUACUUGUUCUCAGAGAAUUCUUCAACCACCGAAGUUGCUUCAUUACAACGCUCUUUGCAAGCAAUAUUUUACUUCACUUUCUCAGGAGCUUGUUUAUGUAGCCUUUGUUCUUUAUCAUGUGAAUGCUGUCUAUCUCUUUAGUGUUGCAUGAUUUGCUGCUAUGAAUGGUUGGAGAUUUAGAAGGUAAAAUAGGGAUCUGAUGAAUGAGAGGAUCAGCUGUGAUGGUUAUGUAUAUUACGGACUAUUAGGAGUUGUAUUUACGAAGUGGUGGAUCGUUAUAAUAGUGAGGAUCAGCAUGAUUUUCAUAUUAUCCUCGAAUCUCUCAAAUAUUUGGUAUUCAUCCAUUAUCACUACUUUUUAAGUUCAAAAACUAAAAAUGCAUCUUUUCGUUUUUUUUGUUUUUUGUUUUUCUAGUUGAUCCUUCCAAUCUGUUACAAUUUCUUCAACUUGGCCUUCUUGAUUAGCUUGUUCUUGGAACUUACCCGACUAGCGGACACCAGCUGGUUCUUGGAGCUUAUCCGGCUAAUGGAAUUCGGUGGUUUCUUAGCUGCUCGUGAUCCUUUUAUCCUUAGGGGAGCUCUUUAAUCACCUUAGUUACUUCUUUUCAAGCUCUUUGGAACUAUCCUAUUUCACUCGCCACGAUAGCCCUAAUUCUUUGCCAUGUAAAUGCUUUCUAUGUCUCGGGCUGGCAUGAUUAUUAUGUGAGUAGUUGAAGCUUUACAGCCAACUCUGGUGAUGCUGUUGGUGGGUGGACUUCUAUUUUCAGUUUAAUCUGUCGAUUUUUCGGUAAUCACUGAAUUUGAUGUUUGCCAAGUCACUCAUGUUGCUUCCCUUUGUUCAAUAAUUUUUGCUGGACAUUCCCUGUGGAUUCGAUGAUGCUCUGGAGGUAAAAAGAUAUGACCAAAAAAGAAAGAACAAGCAAAUUCUAUCUGGUUCAUAAGACCAAUCAACUAAUUCCAAGAAAGAGACAAAGGCAAUGACUUUGAGGUCUAAACAAGCAUCUUUGAAGAGGUCUUCAUCUUCGGCCAUCUUCCAACUCUUUUCCCCAAGUCAUAAUAGUGCAGCUUCCACACUCUAGGAUCAACUUUAGGAUUGGAUUGCUACUAUAACAAUAUAACAUCGUAACAGAAGAGCUAGGCAGCAUGGCCGAAGCUGCGGUGUUUCAUGUGCACAACAAGAUUGCAGCUUCGUUGGCAGGGAAGGCAUUGGAUACAAUAAGCGACGAAUUAGAAGUGUCGGCCUUUCUAGCAGUCAAGAACAGCAUGAAACAAAUCGAGAGCGAGUUUGCGGUGAUGCGAGCCUUUAUGAGUCAAGUCAACGCAUACGAUUCUCGUAACGAAACCUUGGCGGCGUGGCUCGAACAAGUCAAGAAGGUUGCAUUCGAAGUCGAGGAUAUCAUCGACGAGUACACUUAUCUCGUCCGGAAAGAAAACGUCGGCGGCUUCAGGAAUUCCGUGAAGAAUUCGUCAUUUGAAAAACAUCGCCGAAUGGCACAGUAUCGCCGCUCAGCUCAAACAGGUGGAAACUCAUCUAGAAAGGCUCACAACAAUGAGAGGCAUUUCGGUAAGAGAUACCGCGUCGGAUUCCGCCGUUAGGAUUUUCAUAUAUUGUGGCCCAAUUAAUCAUAUUCAAAUCUAUAUUUACUAUAUAAAUAAAAGUCAAUCCUAAUAGAUAUAGAUCUAUUUUAAAUUUAAAUAGAAUGCUAAUCAGACUUUGAUGGAAAGUCGAUUUGGACUCUAUAUAAAGAGGUAUUGGUCUAGAUGCCAACUUCUCAGACGCAUUCUGGUGAAGAAUUACCAUCAGUUCCACACCAUACGGCAGAGUGCCUGAGAUGGGAAGAGAAACCAAAUUAUCCAAGUUCGGUUCGUGAUUUUCGGAUUAUAGCCGAACUUCUCGCUUCCGUAGAUUGAUCAAAAAUUUCUUCUUUAUGGCGCUCUGUGAGUUGUUUUUAUUUUAUUUUGAUCUUGAAUUUUGGUAUGUAUUUAAUUUGCUUUUCAUUUUACAUACUUAGAAAAUCUAUCAAUUAAUAUCAGAGCCAAAACGAUAAGUUGAUAUUGUAUGCAUUAAAUAGUUGGAUCGAAU